rnacentral:rRNA from 1 species
CCUACGGGAGGCAGCAGUGGGGAAUUUUCCGCAAUGGGCGAAAGCCUGACGGAGCAAUACCGCGUGAGGGAGGAAGGCUCUUGGGUCGUAAACCUCUUUUCUCAAGGAAGAUAAUGACGGUACUUGAGGAAUAAGCAUCGGCUAACUCCGUGCCAGCAGCCGCGGUAAUACGGAGGAUGCAAGCGUUAUCCGGAAUGAUUGGGCGUAAAGAGUCCGUAGGUGGUAAUUCAAGUCUGUGGUUAAAGCGUGGAGCUCAACUCCAUAAGGGCCAUGGAAACUGAAUAACUAGAGUGAGGUAGGGGUAGAGGGAAUUCUCGGUGUAGCGGUGAAAUGCGUAGAUAUCGGGAAGAACACCGGUGGCGAAAGCGCUCUACUGGACCUUAACUGACACUGAGGGACGAAAGCUAGGGGAGCGAAAGGGAUUAGAUACCCCUGUAGUCCUAGCCGUAAACGAUGGAUACUAGGUGUUGCCCGUAUCGACCCGGGCAGUGCGUACGCUACGACGUAGUAUCCGUCCGUCGGGAGGUACGCGACGCAGUAGUGAACGUACGAAGAAGUAGACGGCGUGAGACGUGCCGAACGGACGACGACGAGGGGAGGUUAGG